rnacentral:rRNA from 1 species
CACGGAGGAUCCAAGCGUUAUCCGGAAUCAUUGGGUUUAAAGGGUCCGUAGGCGGCCCUGUAAGUCAGUGGUGAAAUCUUUCGGCUCAACCGGAAAAUUGCCAUUGAUACUGCAGGGCUUGAAUUAUUGGGAAGUAACUAGAAUAUGUAGUGUAGCGGUGAAAUGCUUAGAGAUUACAUGGAAUACCGAUUGCGUAGGCAGGUUACUAUCAAUUAAUUGACGCUGAUGGACGAAAGCGUGGGGAGCGAACAGG